UGCAGCUUUCAGCUCAUCCAACCCCCAUCAAACACACCUGAACAAGCUAAUUAAGGCCUUCCAGACUACUGGAAAGCUACAGGCAGGUGAGCUUGAUCAACGUUGGAAUUGAUCUCCUUGGAUUUUUUAGGAACCCAUUUUACACAGAGUUUGCUACUGCAGCAACACGUGUUGGUUUAGCUUUGUGUGCUUCUUCUGACGCACAAAUUCAGGGCCUUUUCCAGCAGAGUUUGUUGUGAGAUCACAGGUCGGGAGGAUGACCGCUCGAGUGGAUUUCUCGUUGAUUGCUGCUUUGUUGUAUCUGUUCGGAUACUUGAGCAUCGCUCAUGCUAUUCAAAGACGUAACACAGUGGAUGGUUUUUGUCCGGCGACGCUGACGUUCGUGCCGGCCCGUCGAGGAUGUUCUUCUGAUGAAGACUGCCCUGGAGGACACAAAUGCUGUCGAUUUGACUGUGGGCCUGUUUGUGUGCUGCCUGUUUUCAGUGAGUUUCAUUUAAUGGCUGCUAAGGGUCUUAAAACAACACCCGUAACCCGUUGAAUUCCAUGUUGGUUUUAAGCAGAAAUUUUUCCUUGUUCUCGUCUGAAGUAGGUUUUGAAUCUAUCACUUAGGAUAGAUUAAUGCACAGGAUGACUUCACAAAAGAGGAAUAAUACUAAC